rnacentral:rRNA from 1 species
CCUACGGGUGGCUGCAGUGAGGAAUAUUGGUCAAUGGGCGAGAGCCUGAACCAGCCAAGUAGCGUGAGGGAUGACUGCCCUACGGGUUGUAAACCUCUUUUAUAAAGGAAUAAAGUGCGGCACGUGUGCCUUUUUGUAUGUACUUUGUGAAUAAGGAUCGGCUAACUCCGUGCCAGCAGCCGCGGUAAUACGGAGGAUCCGAGCGUUAUCCGGAUUUAUUGGGUUUAAAGGGAGCGUAGGUGGGUUGCUAAGUCAGUUGUGAAAGUUUGCGGCUCAACCCUAAAAUUGCAAUUGAUACUGGCAGUCUUGAGUACAGUUGAGGUAGGCGGAAUUCGUGGUGUAGCGGUGAAAUGCAUAGAUAUCACGAAGAACUCCGAUUGCGAAGGCAGCUUACUAAACUCCAACUGACAUUGAUGCACGAAAGUGUGGGUAUCAAACAGGAUUAGAUACCCCGGUAGUC